rnacentral:rRNA from 1 species
CCCUUAGAUGUUCUGGGCCGCACGCGUGCUACACUGAGUAAAUCAAUGGGUAAGGGAACACGAAAGUGCAACCUAAUCUUGAAAUUUGCUCGUGAUGGGGAUCGACGGUUGCAAUUUUCCGUCGUGAACGAGGAAUACCUUGUAGGCGCGUGUCAUCAUCACGCGCCGAAUACGUCCCUGCCCUUUGUACACACCGCCCGUCGCUCCCACCGAUUGAGUGAUCCGGUGAGGCUCUGGGACCUGGACGGAAAGAGCGUUUCGCUUGUUCUGUUUGGGAAACUUGGUCGAACCUUAUCAUUUAGAGGAAGGAGAAGUCGUAACA